UACUGGCUAGCAGGCUCCAAGGCUUCUCCAGGCUUCGCCUCCACAGUACUGGGGUUACAAAGAUAAACCCCGACACCAGACUGCUUUUUUAUGGGCUCUGGAGGAGUGGAGCUGCUGGAUCCUAAGACAAUGCCACACUUCCCAUUUUGAAGAACUUCCAAAGACUUUCAGUAGGUGGAAUGUGGAGAGAGUCAGAAGAGCUGAACAGAAUCUGGAGCAUGCUCCAAUGCAGC